rnacentral:rRNA from 1 species
AUUCCAGCUCCAAUAGCGUAUAUUAAAGUUGUUGCAGUUAAAAAGCUCGUAGUUGGAUUUCUGGGAGGGUGCCAAUGUCCGCCGACGUGCGUGCGCAGCGGCGCCCUUCCAUCCUUCUGUUAACGCCUCUUGGCAUUCAUUUGCUGGUGGCGGGCUCAGAUAUUUUACCUUGAGAAAAUUAGAGUGUUUCAGGCAGGCUAGGCCGGAAUACAUUAGCAUGGAAUAAUGGAAUAGGACUACGGUCUCUUUGUUGGUUUGAGGGACUGCAGUAAUGAUUAAUAGGGAUAGUUGGGGGCAUUAGUAUUUAAUUGUCAGAGGUGGAAUUCUCAGAUUUGUUAAAGACUAACUUAUGCGAAAGCAUUUGCCAAGGAUGUUUUCAUCA